rnacentral:tRNA from 1 species
GAGGUUAUAGCUCAGUGGUAGAGCACGUGCUUAGCAUGCAUGAGGUCCUGGGUUCAAUUCCCCAGUACCUCCA